UUCAUGUGUCACAAGGCUCGUGGAAAGUGAAAGAGCGCAACCUGGCUCGUCCGCUGAAAGGCGCCGCCACUUUGCCUCAGUGUAAUCCUUUAGAAACCAACAUGUCUAUGGAUGAAGCUAGGAAGAGGCUCAUCCAUGACGGUCAAAGGAACAACACCAGUAGCACACCUGACAGUAAGUAAUGGCAGGAGAACAGAGGACCAAAGGGUGCUGCAAAGGCAAUGAAGCUUUCAGCGGCUAUAGCUGCCUACUUUCUACAUGGUGGCAACAUAGAAACUUCUAUCAUUUCUCGUAUUCAUAUUAAUGGAUGCUUAUAGAAAGGGAAGGCAUAGGUAAGAAGUGGUGGAAUUCUAACUUGGAAAAAGGUUCUAAGGCUCCCUGAGGUCCUCUUUUGACCUGAGGAAGCCUUCGGGAAGAUGGGAGAGAAGCCCAUUUGAUAUCCAUAAAUUGCAGUUUAUGAUCUCAAUCCUAA